UGUACUCACGUACUGGAGACUCACCCGACCAAGCCCUCACGCAUAAACGCCUCUCAUCGUUCCCCAACUCACGCACGCACGCGACACCCAUCGCGUCCUCGCGAUGCUGCCGCCGCCUCCUUCCCUUCCGGCCGCCACCAGCCAAGUCCGUCGCCGGCGCACGCCAGCGCAGCUCCGCCUCGCUAUCCUCCAUAGAAUCCCCUCUAAAUCGACGCUCACUCGCACCCGCACACACAGGCUCCCCCAGAUGUCGUCGCUCCGCUGCGUUUGUUUUUUCCCGGCCGCCUCCGGCUCACUCCGGCACCGGCGAGUUGGGGAGCUUGUCCGCCUCGACUAGCUCGACAACUCCCUCCGGCUCGAUUUGAUCUUCGGAACCCCUCACGCUUGCCCUCGGCCCUGGAAACCCUCGCGGUGACCGGUCGAUUUGACCGCCGCCGGCCGCUCACAUCUUCGUCCUCUGUCGGCACGACCCCGCCACGAAGUCCUCCGUUACCUCAGCUCCCUCUUCUUCCGCUUGGCACCGCCCACUGCUAACCCUAGCAGUGGCUUCAGCUCGGUCGCCGGCGUGAUGCCGCGUGCCGCUGCGCCUCCCUCUGGACCUCUUCAUCAAUUGCGCUCCUUCACGAUCUUGUGCUCGACUGCCUCCUCUUCGAUGAUUGCAGAACGGUAACGUAUCUGCAACCCCGGUGUCUCGAUCCGCCGUCUCGUGACCUUGCUGUUGUGGUGGUGGCAUGGUGCUGUGAUACUGGUGAUGGUUUGUGGUGGUGGGACUGGCAUGAUGGAGCUGCUGCUGUUGCGACGGCUCCAUUUCCUUCGCCGCCGGUGGGACGGUUCCGCGACGCAACCCCGGCGUCAACUACUGCUCCUACUCUCGACUGAACUCACUGUUGCUAUAUAUUGAUGAUGCCCCUGUUUGGAUGAUUCCUUCAUCCAGGCAUACAUUUUACUAUAAGAUGUACCUUUGAUAAUAACGGGUACUUGUGCUUGAUUUGUUGCCUAGCCAGUGAUGCAUAAGUUGAGGCACAGAUUUAAAUAAGAACAGAUACUAUGGUGUCUAAAAUUCUCUAUGAUGAAUCUUGCAUAGCACUUAUGUGCAGAUCUGAGAGAAUCACUUCUCAUGACUUAAACUGAUGAUUUAUAGUUCGAUCUUUGUCUAGUUCAUUGCUUGCAAAUACUACCCAUGUGCUAUCUACUAGGAUUUAAUACUUCCUGUGGUGCCUCCUAAGAGUGUGCACAGGGAUGUUUAUUACUUAGUAAGAUUUGUGUUGUUGGUAGUUAUGCAGGGUGAUUUAUUAGACUUGGAUCAUAACUAUGAUCAAAUGAUGUUAAAAUCAUCACAAACAACUCAUGUUUGAUAAACUAUUUGAUCUGGAUGAUAUGAUGCCUUUUUGGGAAUAAAGCCAAGUACUAGGCUCAAUGAGUUUGGUAUACCUAUUUCCCUCUGCUAGGCAUAACUUUGCUGGCUGAUGGUGAUCUUGAUAUGCUUCUGGAUUGUUGAAUCUUCACCCCCUCGACUUGAGCCUGCUCCUCCUGAUCUUGAUACUUGCUUUGGCUUGGUUUGGGUGAUUAUCUACUUCUUUCAUUUCUGGUUUGUUUCUUGAGGAUUGUUUGAUGGCCUGGAUGAAGAACUUAUGCUGCUCUUGGUUGUUCUUGGCUGGUCGAUGGGUAUGAGAAAUAUGGGUGCUUGGGCAGCUGUGUGCUACAAGAAGAACAAUAUAUAUACCCUGCCCAUCUACUCUCGGUGGUUGACAACACACAUAUGCAACCUUGUGCGUGUGCUGCUUGCUUGCCUGUUGCAUGUCCUGGGUAGAUGCAUCUCCCCUUGGGGAUAGGCACGGCUGAGAAAAUAUCUCCCUCUUCCAUUUCUCUUUAUUUUUAACAUAGCCACUUGGCAUUACCAUUUCUUCUUGUUUUCUUUGUUUGUUUUGCAGGGUCUUACUUAAACAAGAGAUGAUGAUCUUCAAGUUUAGUUUAGGAUUUGAUUUUCUUUUCUUAUACUUGUAACUGUAACUAUAUUUUUAUUCUUUAUUAUUUUUGUAAAGACUUUGUAUUGUUGUGUUAAUAUUAAUAAAGAAAUGUUUUCCUUGU